rnacentral:rRNA from 1 species
UGAGUAACGCGUAUGCGACCUGCCCGUUGCAGGGGGAUAAUCGGGAGAAAUCCCGUCUAAUACCGCGUAACGCCGCGGGGCUGCAUGGCCCUGCGGCCAAAGGGAGCGAUUCCGGCAACGGAUGGGCAUGCGUGACAUUAGCUAGUUGGCGGGGCAACGGCCCACCAAGGCGACGAUGUCUAGGGGUUCUGAGAGGAAGGUCCCCCACACUGGUACUGAGACACGGACCAGACUCCUACGGGAGGCAGCAG